rnacentral:rRNA from 1 species
UUGCGCACGUGUUGCGCAAUUGACGGUACCCUGGGAAUAAGCAUCGGCUAACUCCGUGCCAGCAGCCGCGGUAAUAAUAUAAGG